rnacentral:miRNA from 1 species
UUUGGCACUUAUAGAAUUCACUGA